AGACGGGAGGGAGAAAAUACAAUAAAUAUAUAAAUAAUAUACAUAAUAAUCAACAGUAUGUGAGGGGAAAUCUUCCCACAAGACUUCCUCACAGCACCAUCUAGUUCUUCAUCCCCAGAAACUUUAUCAAUGAUCAGAGUUCUACCUUCAUACUGGGAAUAUGUCCAGAGUUCCAGGUUCUUCAAGUCCACAGAGGAGAACCGUACAGUUGUCGGUAGGUCUACUGUAGAACUUUCUCCAGCUGUCGGUACGUCUACUGUAGAACUUUCUCCAGCUGUCGGUAGGUCUACUGUAGAACUUUCUCCAGCUGUCGGUACGUCUACUCUAGAACUUUCUCCAGCUGUCGGUACGUCUACUGUAGAACUUUCUCCAGCUGUCGGUAGGUCUACUCUACAUAGAACUUUCUCCAGAGGAUGUUCUCCUUUCCUGCUUCCAGUCUUUAAGUUCAGUCUCACUUAGAACAUUCCAGGUUCUUCAAGUCCAUAGAGGGGGGUCCAUGAGUGAGAACUGAGAAUUCUGAACAAACUUUUGUUUGAUUUGAAAGUUCUUGAAUCAUUUCUGACAAUUUUAAACAACUUUUAGAUCACUGUGGAUAUUUUUUUUAAGCUUUUUUGGUCAAUUUGUGCAUUUUUUAAAUCGACUACAUUUGGUCAGUUUGGCAAAUUUUGAAAAAUACAGCACAGUUUUGAGUCAUUUUGAACAAUUUUUUAUUGUCAUUUUGGCCAAAUCUAACACUACUGAGGACAAUUUCUUUGGUCAUUCUGGACAUUUUGAGUCAGCAUGUUCAGAUUAUUGUCAUUUUGGACAAAUUUUCAUGACAUUUGAAUCAUUUUUAGGUAAAUUUAAAUUACGUGGAUGUUUUGUGUGUUUUUGCAAUGACUUUUUAACAUUUUGUGGCGAGUUUGCUUCUUUUAGUCAUAAUUUUGUGUCUGUGGUAAUUUUGACUCUGUGGUGGUUUGACCCUAACCCUUUAUGUGGUGAGUUUUCGUCUUUUUGCAGCUGUUCAUGGUGAUUUUUUAUAUGUUUCACUGGUCAUUUUGCAUUUUUGGGUCAUAAUUUUGUGCCUUUUCUUUUGCAUCUGCAAUAUUUUUCUGGUAAUUUUGAAAGUUUGACAUCUUUUUGUGAUGGGUUUCUGUUAUUUUGCAGCUAUUUGUGGUGACUCCGCUUCUUUAGUAAUUUUAUGUUUCUUUGUGCUAAUUUUGCAUGUUUUU